rnacentral:rRNA from 1 species
AACGAACGCUGGCGGCAUGCCUAACACAUGCAAGUCGAACGAGACCUUCGGGUCUAGUGGCGCACGGGUGCGUAACGCGUGGGAACCUGCCCUUAGGUUCGGAAUAACUCCCCGAAAGGGGUGCUAAUACCGGAUAAUGUCUUCGGACCAAAGAUUUAUCGCCUUUGGAUGGGCCCGCGUUGGAUUAGCUAGUUGGUAGGGUAAAAGCCUACCAAGGCGACGAUCCAUAGCUGGUCUGAGAGGAUGAUCAGCCACACUGGGACUGAGACACGGCCCAGACUCCUACGGGAGGCAGCAGUGGGGAAUAUUGGACAAUGGGCGAAAGCCUGAUUCAGCAAUGCCGCGUGAGUGAUGAAGGCCUUAGGGUUGUAAAGCUCUUUUACCCGGGAUGAUAAUGACAGUACCGGGAGAAUAAGCGCCGGCUAACUCCGUG